GGGUGAUUACCCAAGUCCGAUUUGAAGGGAGCAGUCUUGAAAACUGCCAGGGCUUCACGGCCCAUGGGGUUCAAAUCCCUCAUCACCCGCCA
rnacentral:tRNA from 1 species